rnacentral:rRNA from 1 species
CAGUCGCCACGGGAAUACGUAGGGUGCAAGCGUUAAUCGGAAUUACUGGGCGUAAAGCGUGCGCAGGCGGUUCGUUAAGACAGAUGUGAAAUCCCCGGGCUUAACCUGGGAACUGCAUUUGUGACUGGCGGGCUAGAGUAUGGCAGAGGGGGGUAGAAUUCCACGUGUAGCAGUGAAAUGCGUAGAGAUGUGGAGGAAUACCGAUGGCGAAAGCAGCCCCCUGGGCCAAUACUGACGCUCAUGCACGAAAGCGUGGGGAGCAAACAGGAUUAGAUACCCCUGUAGUCCCUGUCUCUUAUAC